CAGCCCGCGGAUGGUGGAGAUCUUGUCGGUGUUGAUGACGGCGGCGGUGCGGUCGCUGGACGCCAGGCGGUUCCGCCCGGCCGGGUCGA
rnacentral:tRNA from 1 species